rnacentral:lncRNA from 1 species
ACAAGUCAAAUAGGCAAAUUUGCUAAUUGUGUACAACUAUAGAACCAAACUACAGCGCAUAGUGGUUCUACUAACUUGAAAUAGGCAAAUUAAAGUCGCAGUGUACAACUAUAGAACCAAACUACAGCGUAUAGUGGUUCUACUAACUUAAAAAACUAAAGUUCUGUUUUAAAAAUGUAUAUUAUCUGCACACGGAACUUUAUAACUGGACCGAAUCUCACACUAUAUAAUUUGCUUUCUAAUUCUAAAUAUACAAGUACUCUGGAGUAUCAAGAUUGAGCAAGGGCAGUGCAGUGGCUUUAAGGAAAUAUUUGUUAAAAUCGGUGAAUGUCCACGGUUUAGGUAUAUAUUUAAUUAGUAUUUGUAAGAACAAAGAACUGUUUUCCAGUAGUGAGGUAAUAUGAGAUAACACACACAAUGAUGACUAAGGUUAGUAUCUUGUACAUUAACUAUAUCAAUCUACAUGAAGUUGCCUAUGCGACUCUGGGACUAGCUUGUUAGGUAUCAGCCCAUUACAAUGGUAGCAUGGACUUUGGUGAUCCAAAAUAUAUAAGGAUAAUAAUUGUAUGUUUAGACAAUUAUUAUAAAAGAUAUGUCUUGGUCACAAAGUUGGAAGGCCCAGUUGGAAUUGGAUUCCGAUUUGAGUUGAAGAUUUCAGAAUUGGAUUCCAAUUGCAGUUAGGUAUUUCAGAGUUAGAGUUAGAUUCUGAUUUGUCUAAGUUUGAGAUGGCUAUAUAUACAUAGUCAUAUUGUGUUUGAUAGGUGUGCUCAAGAUGUAGACUUAGGUAUCGCUCGAGGGCGGAUACUUGGGUAGUAGGCUUGAGUAUCCAAGUUUGGUUGAUUGUAUUAUUGAUAACGAUUUGAUUAAUAAUACAAGUUGGGACGUGGGUUUUCCGCGUCAAAUAUAUUGUUGUGUGUGUGCUUCGCAUUAGAAGUUGAAUCUCGUAUUUUUAAUCCUAACAAGUGGUAUCAGAGCCAGGUUAGGAUCGUGAUUGAUGGGGUUGAGGAUAAGUUCGAGAUUUAAUUGAUAAUGGAAAGUAUAAUGAAGGAUUUGCUGGCAAGAAGCCGCUAAAGUGGAAAGAGACAAAGUUACGUGCAGUAUGACGGUUGACUUGCACCGUGGAUCAAUCAUGAUGGACUCAAGGUGGAAGAAGAUUGGAUCGUUCUUCUAGAGGCCGGAAGAUUGUGAAAGCAAGGAUCGGGUGACAUGGAAGGGCACUCGUGCUUGAUGCACGUGAUUUUGUUGAUGGGUAAAGUCUGGAAGAACGAGAAGCGGAGAUUCUUGUUCGAGGGGAGGCAUUGGCGGAUGGACGUCGGUGUCUUGAUCGUGAUUGUUGUUUGUAUUGGGCUGAAGGGGAGGAUUGUUAGGUAUCAGCCCAUUACAAUGGUAGCAUGGACUUUGGUGAUCCAAAAUAUAUAAGGAUAACAAUUGUAUGUUUAGACAAUUAUUAUAAAAGAUAUGUCUUGGUCACAAAGUUGGAAGGCCCAGUUGGAAUUGGAUUCUGAUUUGAGUUAAAGAUUUCAGAAUUGGAUUCCAAUUGCAGUUAGGUAUUUCAGAGUUAGAGUUAGAUUUUGAUUUGUCUAAGUUUGAGAUGGCUAUAUAUACAUAGUCAUAUUGUGUUUGAUAGGUGUGCUCAAGAUGUAGACUUAGGUAUCGCUCGAGGGCGGAUACUUGGGUAGUAGGCUUGAGUAUCCAAGUUUGGUUGAUUGUAUUAUUGAUAACGAUUUGAUUAAUAAUACAAGUUGGGACGUGGGUUUUCCGCGUCAAAUAUAUUGUUGUGUGUGCGCUUCGCAUUAGAAGUUGAAUC